rnacentral:rRNA from 1 species
GACGAACGCUGGCGGCGUGCUUAACACAUGCAAGUCGAACGGAAAGGCCCUGCUUUUGUGGGGUGCUCGAGUGGCGAACGGGUGAGUAACACGUGAGUAACCUGCCCUUGACUUUGGGAUAACUUCAGGAAACUGGGGCUAAUACCGGAUAGGAGCUCCUGCUGCAUGGUGGGGGUUGGAAAGUUUCGGCGGUUGGGGAUGGACUCGCGGCUUAUCAGCUUGUUGGUGGGGUAGUGGCUUACCAAGGCUUUGACGGGUAGCCGGCCUGAGAGGGUGACCGGCCACAUUGGGACUGGGGUACGGCCCAGACUCCUACGGGAGGCAGCAGUGGGGAAUAUUGCACAAUGGGCGGAAGCCUGAUGCAGCAGCGCCGCGUGCGGGAUGACGGCCUUCGGGUUGUAAACCGCUUUCGCCUGUGACGAAGCGUGAGUGACGGUAAUGGGUAAAGAAGCACCGGCUAACUACGUG